rnacentral:lncRNA from 1 species
UCUUGUUUUAUAUCAUAUAUUUUAUAUUCUUAACUUUAUUUAUUUCCUUUAUUGUUUCAUCGUUUCACGUAAUGUUUACCCCUUUUUUUAUGCCCUUUUUUUAUUUGACUCAUUUAUUUACUUAUUACCUUACAUAGUCGAUUCGCCUUUAUUUAUCUUUUAUAUAUAGUUGCUCAUGCUAUUUAUGCUUGCAUUAUCGUAUUCAUUAUUGUUUUGUUAUACAUGCCGACAAUGUGUUUUAUUUCCGCAUUUUUACCAUGACAUCUGUUUCAUUUUACUCGAUAUAUCAAAAUUUGUUCCAAAUAAAUAGCAUUUCGUAUUUUGAGAUUCGGAAAAGUCGUAUCCUAA